rnacentral:rRNA from 1 species
UCCCAAGCUACAAAGGGCCAACGGUGGAUGCCUUGGCGACAGGAACCGAUGAAGGACGUGGGAGGCUGCGAAAAGCCACGGGUAGGUGCCGACCAACCUCUGAUCCGUGGAUGUCCGAAUGGGGAAACCCGGCACUCGUCAUGGAGUGUCACUCCCGCCUGAACACAUAGGGCGGGUAGAGGGAACCGGGGGAACUGAAACAUCUCAGUACCCCGAGGAAUGGAAAGUAACAACGACUCCGUAAGUAGCGGCGAGCGAACGCGGAAGAGCCUAAACCGGCCUGGUGGAAUAGCCCGACGGCGUUGCCAGGUGGGGGUUGUGGGACCCAAUAGAGGAGGCGUCGGCCCCUCACAGAGUUACAAAGUUGCGAGAUAGCGGAACCGUCUGGAAAGUCGGGCCGUAGAGGGUAAUGGCCCCGUACGUAAAAUCUCUGCAACCUCUGAUUGGUGUUCCCGAGUAGCGCCGAAUCCGGGAAAGUCGGCGUGAAUCAGCGAGGACCACCUCGUAAGGCUAAGUAUUACCUGUCGACCGAUAGUGAACUAGUACCGUGAGGGAAAGGUGAAAAGUACCCCGGGAGGGGAGUGAAAUAGUCCCUGAAACCGUUGGUCUACAAGCAGUCAAAGCCUGGCUUCGGCCGGGCGAUGGCGUGCCUUUUGAAGAAUGAGCCAGCGAGUUGCGGUGUGUGGCGAGGUUAACCCGUGAGGGGAAGCCGGAGCGAAAGCGAGUCUGAAUAGGGCGUACAGUCGCAUGCUGCAGACCCGAAGCCGAGUGAUCUAUCCAUGGGCAGUGUGAAGCGGAGGUAAGACUCCGUGGAGGCGCGAACCGACCUCAGUUGAAAAUGGGGCGGAUGACCUGUGGAUAGGGGUGAAAGGCCAAUCAAACUCGGUGAUAGCUGGUUCUCCGCGAAAUGCAUUUAGGUGCAGCGUUGCACGUUCAUCCGUGGAGGUAGAGCACUGGAUGGGCUAGGGGGCCUACAAGCUUACUGAACCCAACCAAACUCCGAAUGCCACGGAUCCAGAGUGCAGCAGUGAGACCCCGGGGGAUGAGCUUCGGGGUCGAGAGGGAAACAGCCCAGACCGUCGGCUAAGGUCCCCAAAUCCAGACUAAGUGGUAAACGAUGUGAGAUUGCAAAGACAGCCAGGAGGUUGGCUUAGAAGCAGCCACCCUUGAAAGAGUGCGUAACAGCUCACUGGUCGAGUGGUCUUGCGCGGACAAUGUAACGGGGCUCAAGUCUGGUACCGAAGCCACGGGUUCGUCUUCGGACGAGCGGUAGCGGAGCGUCGAUCUCGCUGCGAAGCGGCCGGGUGACCGGCCGUGGAGCGUGGUCGAGUGAGAAUGCUGGCAUGAGUAGCGAAAGACGGGUGAGAAACCCGUCCGCCGGAUGUCCAAGGGUUCCUGGGGAAGGCUAUUCCACCCAGGGUGAGUCGGGAGCUAAGGCGAGGCCGAAAGGCGUAGUCGAUGCACAACCGGUUGAUAUUCCGGUACCACCACAUGCGCGUCCAUUCCAAUCCCUGGUUGCUAAGGGGCUGUGCCGGCUUCGGCCGGUAACGAACCGACCCACUGGGAGGCGGAAAGCCGUAGGGGGACGCAGGAAGGUAGAUGAUCCCGGGCGAUGGUAGUCCCGGGGUAAGCGUGUAGGGCGAGGACCAGGAAAAUCCGGGCCUCACGAAGCCUGAGACGUGAUACGGACCCGCUUAAGGGGAAGUCAUUGAUCCUAUGCUGCCGAGAAAAGCCUAGCGGUGAGUUCAUGUGGUGCCCGUACCCCAAACCAACACAGGUGGACAGGUAGAGAAUACCAAGGCGAUUGGGAGAACAGUGGUUAAGGAACUCGGCAAAAUGCCUCCGUAACUUCGGGAGAAGGAGGACCCCAUUAGGGUGAAGGGCCUUGCGCCUGGAGCUCGAAGGGGUGGCACAAAAUUGUGGGGAGCGACUGUUUACUAAAAACACAGCAGCGUGCGAAGCCGUAAGGCGCUGUAUACGCUGUGACGCCUGCCCGGUGCUGGAAGGUUACGGGGAAGGGUUAGCCCUCGGGCGAAGCUCUGAACCUAAGCCCCAGUAAACGGCGGCCGUAACUAUAACGGUCCUAAGGUAGCGAAAUUCCUUGUCGGGUAAGUUCCGACCUGCACGAAUGGCGUAACGACUUCCCAACUGUCUCAACCACUGACCCAGCGAAAUUGAAGUACGAGUAAAGAUGCUCGUUAGCUGCAGAAGGACGGAAAGACCCCGUGGACCUUUACUACAACUUGAUGUUGGGUUUUGUCAUACGUUGUGUAGGAUAGGUGGGAGACUUGGAAGC